UUUGGGCUCUUUUCAUCCAGUCUCUCUUUUGAUUGCUGCUAACAUGUAAUUAAUGUACACUGCAAGACUCUCAGCCUAACGCUAUAACACUUCGGACAAUAGUGAAGACAUAUUUCCUUACUCAACUUUGCCAGCACGCAGCUCAAUCCUUCCAACCAAUCAGAGCAAUAUUUGACUUUGUCCACCAGGUUGGAUUAUAAUAGAACAAGACGAGAAAUACUAAGGACCAUGCAAUCUACAGGGCAGGUGAGGGUUAGCCAGAGCUAGCAUCUGGUGAAACAAUGGUCUCUGUUCACCACCCAGCAUGUGAAGCUUAGUUGCAGCUGCAUGGCGCUAAAUUCACCAAACAUGACUACCAGGGCCAGGAUCAUCAGGCGUCACCUAGCAAACGUCGAGGAACGUUCGGAGCACUAUGAGACAUGUAGAGAGCACACUGGUCAUCCGCUGCACAAAAAAAAAACCAACCCAUCUCCAGUUGUCUGGACUACUCUGGACCAUGUUCUGCCUCUGGAAUUAACUGGCGAGGGGCGAGAAAAUGAGGCAAGCCACAUUCCCAC